AGCUAAUAGAUACCCUGGUAGUCCACGCCCUAAACGAUGUCAACUGGUUGUUGGUCCUUCACUGGAUCAGUAAAACGAAAAGACUAAACGCGUGAAGUUGACCGCCUGGGGAGGUACGGCCGCAAGGUUGAAACUACAAAGGAAUUGACGGGGACCCGGCACAAGCGGUGGAUGAUGUGGUUUAAAUUUCGAUGCAACGCGAAAAACCUUAACCCACCUUUGUACAUGCACGGAACCUCGCAGAGAUGUGAGGGUGCCCGAAAGGGAGCCGUGACACAGGUGCUGCAUGGCUGUCGUCAGCUCGUGUCGUGAGAUGUUGGGUUAAGUCCCGCAACGAGCGCAACCCUUGUCAUUAGUUGCUACAUUCAGUUGGGCACUCUAAUGAGACUGCCGGUGACAAACCGGAGGAAGGUGGGGAUGACGUCAAGUCCUCAUGGCCCUUAUAGGUGGGGCUACACACGUCAUACAAUGGCCGGUACAAAGGGCUGCCAACCCGCGAGGGGGAGCCAAUCCCAUAAAACCGGGUCGUAGUCCGGAUCGCAGUCUGC
rnacentral:rRNA from 1 species